CACGUGGGUACCUUACCUAUAAGCAGGGAAUACCUUUGGAAACCAAGUGCUAAUCCGGUAUAAUACCAGCAUCGGCAUGGUUGUUGGUUAAAAAAUGGUUCUGCUAUCACUAAGAGAUGGACCCGCGGUGCAUUAGCUAGUUGGUAAGGUAACGGCUUACCAAGGCAAUGAUGCAUAGCCGAGUUGAGAGACUGAUCGGCCACAAUGGGACUGAGACACGGCCCAUACUCCUACGGGAGGCAGCAGUAGGGAAUCUUCCACAAUGGGCGCAAGCCUGAUGGAGCAACGCCGCGUGUGUGAUGAAGGGUUUCGGCUCGUAAAACUCUGUUAUAAGAGAAGAACGGCAGUGAGAGUAACUGUUCAGUGUGUGACGGUAUCUAACCAGAAAGGAACGGCUAAAUACGUGCCAGCAGCCGCGGUAAUACGUAUGUUCCAAGCGUUAUCCGGAUUUAUUGGGCGUAAAGCGAGCGCAGACGGUUAUUUAAGUCUGAAGUGAAAGCCCUCAGCUCAACUGAGGAAUGGCUUUGGAAACUGUCAUGACUUGAGUGCAGU
rnacentral:rRNA from 1 species